rnacentral:lncRNA from 1 species
AGGUAUCUCCUCCAGCACUGUCCUUGCCACCAAACAGCUAUUCUCCUGGGGCAACACUUUCCUUUCUACCCCUGGCUGACAGAGAAUUUCAGGAAUAGCGGCCUGGUCCCUCCUGUAACCAUCAUCCAGCUGUCUUCUUCGGCAGGACAGAUAUUAGCCCAGAUUUUAGGUCAUUCCAACCCACCUAGGGAACAGCCCCAACUAGAAUCCCAAGCACUUGCCAAGCUCUCUGCCAGCAGGUGGCCUGCCAGCCUCCAAGAUUCAUUCACUCAGUUUAGUGUGGGCAACUUUUUUUUUUUUAGAUUUAUUUAUUUAUUUAAAAGUCAGAGUUACACACAGAGAGAAGGAGAGGCAGAGAGAGAGGUCUUCCAUCUGCUGGUUCACUCCCCAAUUGGCUGCAAUGGCCGGAGCUGUGCCAUCCAAAGCCAGGAGCCAGGAUCUUCCUUCAAGUCUUCCCUUUUGGGUGCAAGGGCCCAAGGACUUGGGCCAUCUUCUACUUCUUUCCCAGGCCAUAGCAGAGAGCUGGAUCAGAAGAGGAGCAGACAGGAUUCGAACCAGCACCCAUAUGGGAUGCCAGCACUGCAGAUGGCAGCUUUAUCCACUACACCACAGCGCUGGCCCCAGUGUGGGCAACUUUCUUUUAUUAUUAUUAUUUAUUUGACAGGUAGAGCUAUAGACAGUGAGAGAGAGACACAGAGAGAAAGGUCUUCCUUCUGUUGGUUCACUCCCCAAAUGGCCGCCACGGCACUGCGCCAAUCCAAAACCAGGAGGCAGGUGCUUCUUCCUGGUCUCCCGUGCAGGUGCAGGGGGCCCAAGUACCUGGGCUAUCCUCCACUGCCCUCCCCCUUUUUUAUUAUUAUAUGUGGGCAACUUUCAAUCUUCACCCUCCCUUUGGCUCUAUGUCCCUCUCCAGUGCUUCCACUGCAUCAUCUGGUGCUGCUGCGUACCCUAGUCUCAACAAAUCAUGGAUUCAACUUUGCUCCUGAGACUGGACAGACUGCAGGACAAUUCCAGACAUGGACAACAGACUGUUUGGGUGUUUGGCUGCAGAGGCAUGGCCACAGCCUCAUCAUGGUUCAAGUUCUAGCGAGCAACAUGUUCAACAGCCAUUAG